UACAGGGGGGGCAAGCGUUGUCCGGAUUUAUUGGGCGUAAAGAGCGUGUAGGCGGCCAGGUAGGUCUGCUGUGAAAACUCGAGGCUCAACCUCGAGACGUCGGCGGAAACCAUCUGGCUAGAGUCCGGAAGAGGAGAGUGGAAUUCCUGGUGUAGCGGUGAAAUGCGCAGAUAUCAGGAAGAACACCCGUGGCGAAGGCGGCUCUCUGGGACGGUACUGACGCUGAGACGCGAAAGCGUGGGGAGCGAACAGG
rnacentral:rRNA from 1 species